rnacentral:tRNA from 1 species
GCAAGGGUGGUUCAAUGGUAGAUGUCUUGCUUUUCAUGCAGGAGACCUGGGUUUGAUUCCCAGCCAAUGCA